rnacentral:sRNA from 1 species
GUCGUGAGAGCUGGGUUAAGUCCCGCAACGAGUGCAACCCUUGUCCCUAGUUGCUACGCAAGGGCACUCUAGGGAGACUGCCGGUGACAAACCGGAGGAAGGUGGGGAUGACGUCAAGUCCUCAUGGCCCUUAUGGGUAGGGCUUCACACGUCAUACAAUGGCCGGUACAGAGGGUCGCCAACCCGCGAGGGGGAGCCAAUCCCUAUAAAGCCGGUCGUAGUCCGGAUUGCAGUCUGCAACUCGACUGCAUGAAGUCGGAAUCGCUAGUAAUCGCGGAUCAGCAUGUCGCGGUGAAUACGUUCCCGGGUCUUGUACACACCGCCCGUCACACCAUGGGAGCGGGAUGUACCAGAAGUAGGUAGGCUAACCCGAGGGUAACUGAAGGGGGCCGCUUACCACGGUGCGUUUCGUGACUGGGGUGAAGUCGUAACAAGGUAGCCGUAUCGGAAGGUGCGGCUGGAUCACCUCCUUUCUCGGAAACAGGGAUCAGGAAUCAGGGAUCAGGGAUCAAACCCGGAUCACUGCCCUGCCAUCCCCAUUCCCACCUGCGAGUACCCACAACCUAUCGGUUGUAUUCAGGGAUCAGAAGUCAGGUAUCAGGUAUCAGAACACGGCAGUCAGAGGUUGCUGCGCGCGCGCAGCGCGCGGUAACUUUCUGAUCCCCGAUUCCUGAUUCCUGAUACCUGAACACCGGGCCUGUAGCUCAGUUGGUUAGAGCACCGUCUUGAUAAGGCGGGGGUCGAUGGUUCGAAUCCAUCCAGACCCACCAGGAUCAAGCCGGGGCUGUAGCUCAAUUGGGAGAGCGCCUGCUUUGCAAGCAGGAGGUCGUCGGUUCGAUCCCGUCCAGCUCCACCAGGUUCAGGUAUCAGAAUUCAGGAAUCAGGGAUCAGAAGAUUCCACACCACUAUCGGUUGCACGCCAGCACUCAGCAGUGGGCUUUCAGAAGGAUGAGAGUUCAGCGUUGAGAGCUGCAGUGUUCUUUAACAAUUGGGAAGGUAAGGGUUCACAUGACUUGAUGAGAGUCGUGUGAGCAAUAGGGUUGAGUUGUAUCUUCAAAAGCCGGUCACCUUUUAAAAAGGGGGGUGAGCGGUGGCGCGAGACACAACGUAACGGUGGAGUCCUUGCGAGGGCUCACAGUUAUGGGGUCAAGCGACUAAGUGCAUGUGGUGGAUGCCUUGGCGAUUACAGGCGAUGAAGGACGUGGCAGCCUGCGAAAAGCUGCGGGGAGCUGGCAAACGAGCAUUGAUCCGCAGAUGU